GCUGGCGGCGUGCCUCAGACAUGCAAGUCGAACGCGAAAGCCUCCUUCGGGGGGCAAGUAGAGUGGCGCACGGGUGAGUAACACGUAGGUAAUCUACCUUUGGAUUGGGAAUAACCACCGGAAACGGUGGCUAAUACCGAAUAAUGCAGCGGCACCUAAUGGUGACAGUUGUUAAAGCGGGGGAUCGCAAGACCUCGCGUCUGAAGAGGAGCCUGCGGCAGAUUAGCUAGUUGGUAAGGUAACGGCUUACCAAGGCGAUGAUCUGUAGCCGGCCUGAGAGGGCGGUCGGCCACACUGACACUGACAUACGGGUCAGACUCCUACGGGAGGCAGCAGUCGGGAAUUUUGGGCAAUGGGCGAAAGCCUGACCCAGCAACGCCGCGUGAAGGAUGAAAUCCUUCGGGAUGUAAACUUCGCAAGAACGGGAAGAAUAAGUAAGAGUUAAUAUCUCUUACGAUGACGGUACUGUUUGUAAGCUCCGGCUAACUCCGUGCCAGCAGCCGCGGUAAUACGGGGGGAGCAAGCGUUGUUCGGAUUUACUGGGCGUAAAGGGCGCGUAGGCGGCCACCGCAAGUCGACUGUGAAAUCUCCGGGCUUAA
rnacentral:rRNA from 1 species